rnacentral:rRNA from 1 species
AACGCGAAGAACCUUACCAGGUCUUGACAUCCUCUGACACUCCUAGAGAUAGGACGUUCCCCUUCGGGGGACAGAGUGACAGGUGGUGCAUGGUUGUCGUCAGCUCGUGUCGUGAGAUGUUGGGUUAAGUCCCGCAACGAGCGCAACCCUUGAUCUUAGUUGCCAGCAUUCAGUUGGGCACUCUAAGGUGACUGCCGGUGACAAACCGGAGGAAGGUGGGGAUGACGUCAAAUCAUCAUGCCCCUUAUGACCUGGGCUACACACGUGCUACAAUGGAUGGUACAAAGGGCAGCAAAGCCGCGAGGCCUAGCCAAUCCCAUAAAACCAUUCUCAGUUCGGAUUGUAGGCUGCAACUCGCCUACAUGAAGCCGGAAUCGCUAGUAAUCGCGGAUCAGCAUGCCGCGGUGAAUACGUUCCCGGGCCUUGUA